GACGAACGCUGGCGGCGUGCUUAACACAUGCAAGUCGAACGGAAAGGCCCUGCUUUUGUGGGGUGCUCGAGUGGCGAACGGGUGAGUAACACGAGAGUAACCUGCCCUUGACUUUGGGAUAACUUCAGGAAACUGGGGCUAAUACCGGAUAGGAGCUCCUGCUGCAUGGUGGGGGUUGGAAAGUUUCGGCGGUUGGGGAUGGACUCGCGGCUUAUCAGCUUGUUGGUGGGGUAGUGGCUUACCAAGGCUUUGACGGGUAGCCGGCCUGAGAGGGUGACCGGCCACAUUGGGACUGAGAUACGGGCCAGACUCCUACGGGAGGCAGCAGUGGGGAAUAUUGCACAAUGGGCGGAAGCCGGAUGCAGCAACGCCGCGUGAGGGAUUACGGCCUUCGGGUUGGAAACCGCUUUCGCCGGUGACGAAGCGUGAGUGAAGGUAAUGGGUAAAGAAGCACCGGCUAACUACGUG
rnacentral:rRNA from 1 species